CAAAGGCUUGGUCCUGGCUUUAUUAUUGACUUUAACCAGAUUUACACAUGCAAGUAUCCGCACCCCCGUGAGAAUGCCCUACAGUUUCCCUCAGGAGACAAGGAGCUGGUAUCAGGCACAUGAUUUUCAUAGCCCACAACACCUUGCUUUGCCACACCCUCAAGGGAAUUCAGCAGUGAUAAACAUUAAGCUAUAAGUGAAAACUUGACUUAGUCAAGGCUAAAAGGGCCGGUAAAACUCGUGCCAGCCACCGCGGUUAUACGAGAGGCCCAAGUUAAUAUUAGCGGCGUAAAGAGUGGUUAGACACGCUUAAGAACUAAGGCCGAACGUUUUCAUAGCUGUUAUACGUUUUUGAAAAUAAGAAGCACAACUACGAAAGUGGCCUUAUAAUUUUGAACCCACGAAAGCUAAGGCACAAACUGGGAUUAGAUACCCCACUAUGCUUAGCCCUAAACAUUGAUACUUUUUACACUACUAUCCGCCCGGGGACUACAAGCAUUAGCUUUAAACCCAAAGGACUUGGCGGUGCUUAAGAUCCCCCUAGAGGAGCCUGUUCUAGAACCGAUAAUCCGCGUUUAACCUCACCCUCCCUAGUUUUUUCCGCCUAUAUACCGCCGUCGUCAGCUUACCCCGUGAAGGUUUAAUAGUGAGCAAAAAUGGCACAGCCCAAAACGUCAGGUCGAGGUGCAGCGUAUGAGAGGGGAAGAGAUGGGCUACAUUCCCUAAGAAUAGGAGUAAUACGGAUAAUAUAUUGAAACAUAUAUUUUAAGGAGGAUUUAGCAGUAAGCGGAAGCUAGUAUGCUCCGCUGAACCCGGCCCUAAAGCGCGUACACACCGCCCGUCACUCUCUCCUAGUCUUAUAAUAUUUUAUUUAUAAUAAACCCCAUUAGCAAAGGGGAGGCAAGUCGUAACAUGGUAAGUGCACCGGAAGGUGUACUUGGAUUAAU
rnacentral:ncRNA from 1 species